AAGCACUCAGGGCACAUAGCACUAGCUCCAAGAAUUGAAUUUCCCUCAAGCCUAGCUAGUGAAGCAGAUUGCUGUAACCCUAAGAUUGGUUUUAUGCAGUAACUGCUGAAUUGACCUGCUGGGACUCUAAGACUACUUUUACUUACAGCCGUCACUCAUCAAUCAGAGCUUGUAAGCUACCAAAAGCUUUUCUAGUGUCAAUGAGCUUUCUUUCAAAACAGCACAGUGCCAAGUCAUCCAUAAACAUUGACAGUACAGAGUUUCAUCCAACACAACAGCCUUACAAGAAAAGCCAAGAGGUCUCGAACCUAAAGAACCAGGUCGAUGUUCCACUUCAGGACUGGAGCAGGGAGAGCUGCUUUUGGACGGGCCUGCCCUCCAUCUCCUGUCUCUGGACUUGGGAGGCCUGUCCCCUUCACCCUGUUUCAGACCCUGCAGGGAAGCUUCACUCCUCUGCUCAGCUGCUGCACCACAUUUCGGAUCAGAACAUCUAGAUCCAUCAAAACAAGAGGUGGAUGAGAUAUCUGCACAUUCAGGGAGGGGAGGAUAAAAUCCAGGGGGCCUCAUGAGAUUGCUCUCCACGUGCGAGUGAGCAGACAGGCGGUGUAUUUCCUGAUUGCCCCAGGCUAGGAUAUGAAAAGACACAUGAGACAAAAUGAGAAAAAAGGCCAGAUAAUCUACAGAGUCAUAACUUUUCUUGAGCCCUUCAGAGAGCUGGAGUCGCAAGGCAGCCAACUGAACUGAAACCUAAAGGAUGACAAGAUCUUCUGAGAAAGACAGAACCACCCACUCCUGCACCUCUGGCAGAACCCUGGAGGGAGAGUGGGCUGCCAUAACAGACAGCUAACACUGCAAUGAAUUCUUAAAGGCUGAGUGUGCAAAGGCUUUACAGCUGAGCCAUCCCAGGAGCCCCCACACUUAAAAGGAGUUCACGUUCCUUCAUCAGCUGCUUCCGGUAAAGCUCAGGACAAAGACGGGACAGGACAGGGAUCUGAGUCAGCCACCUCUCAAGGGCACAGGGACAUGAAAACCCUCCCACUUCCCAGACCCUUCUCUUAUCGGAAGCAAAAGCCUCAAACCACUUCCCUGGGGCAGGAAAAACCUUCUACCCUGGAGGCUCAGACAAAGAUCUGUUGUCUCUGGGGGAGGGGCUGGAGCAAAAGCCGUUUUCUGCUGGGGAAGGGGUAGGAAACCCUUCCACCUUGGUUCCUGGUUGAGACGUAGAAGUUGAGAUCUUUGUUCUCAAAGAGGUCUGGAGAGAUGCCUGCAGCCUCUCACUGGAGGACCAGCCGUGCUGCUCUUGCACACAAUGUCACCAACGAGCUGGUCUCCGGGGGUCCUCAAGAGCCCUUCAAUGGCCAAAGUAGGGGGCAGGCUGGGCUCUCAGGAGGAUGUUGGGCCGUAGGAGAGGGUGGGCCAAGGGAAGGAGGCCAUCAGAGAACAGCCUUGUAUGGGCGGGGCCGGUCCCCAUUGUGGGGAGGGCCAUCCCCACUGGUGAGUGGGGCCAUCCUGGAGCAACGAAUUAACUAUUUUAGAGGU
rnacentral:lncRNA from 1 species